rnacentral:tRNA from 1 species
GCCUCAGUAGCGGAGUGGAUAACGCACGAGCCCUGGACAGGUGCAAGAAGCGGGCUCGAAUCCCGCCUGAGCCG